GCUCUUCCUCCUCUCCUCCAUCUGGUUCCUCUUCAUCAUCUUCUGGUUGGAGACCAUCAGCGUGUGGCUCUUCCUGUGCAACUUCUACCAGGACCGAGCCUUUUACCACUGGGGCGAGCGGGUGCUCCUCACUGACCCCGGACACGUGCUCUAUGUCUUCGUGAGCUGAGCCAUUGCUCCCCAGCGAAGCGAUGCCCUGCAGGACCGAGGACGAAUGUCUGCGACACACGGGCAGCUGAAGGCGGCGAGGCCCCAAGGGGUCCCAGGGCCACCUGCAAGCCCAUGGUGCUGGGAAGGGGGUAGCUGCUGCCCCCAGUGCAGCCCAGGAUGAGCAGGGCAGGCUUUGUCCCCCCCAAGCCCAGCGCAAGGACACCUAUGGAAGCUUGGAUACCCAAGUGUUGGGACUAAGGGCCUAAUCCAGGCAGCAGGAGAGCAGAGGAGCAAAUAAAGAGCUUGACUUGCACAUGCUGGUGCCCCUCAGCCCCCUGGGGCUGGGACCAAGGCUCACA